UACAGAGGUGGCAAGCGUUGUUCGGAAUUACUGGGCGUAAAGGGCGCGUAGGCGGCCUUCUAAGUCAGACGUGAAAUCCCCAGGCUUAACUUGGGAACUGCGUCUGAUACUGGGAGGCUUGAGUGCGGGAGAGGGAUGUGGAAUUCCAGGUGUAGCGGUGAAAUGCGCAGAUAUCAGGAGGAACACCCGUGGCGAAAGCGGCUCUCUGGGACGGUACUGACGCUGAGACGCGAAAGCGUGGGGAGCAAACAGG
rnacentral:rRNA from 1 species